AUCGCUUGAAUUUUUGGCUAAGACCAAGUGUAGUAUCUGUUCUUAUCAGUUUAAUAUCUGAUAUGUCCUCUAUCUGAAGACGAUACAUUAAAUAGAUUUAAAAAGAAAAAAACUCAUU
rfam:Myotis lucifugus cont2.36329, whole genome shotgun sequence.